GGUCUGGUGGUGUAGUUGUAACACACUCUUCAGUGAUGCUAACUGUCUUUUCGGGAGUCCCUUGUUCAAAUCAAGGCCAGGCCU